UGCAGUCGAGCGGACAGAAGGGAGCUUGCUCCCGGAUGUUAGCGGCGGACGGGUGAGUAACACGUGGGUAACCUGCCUGUAAGACUGGGAUAACUCCGGGAAACCGGAGCUAAUACCGGAUAGUUCCUUGAACCGCAUGGUUCAAGGAUGAAAGACGGUUUCGGCUGUCACUUACAGAUGGACCCGCGGCGCAUUAGCUAGUUGGUGAGGUAACGGCUCACCAAGGCGACGAUGCGUAGCCGACCUGAGAGGGUGAUCGGCCACACUGGGACUGAGACACGGCCCAGACUCCUACGGGAGGCAGCAGUAGGGAAUCUUCCGCAAUGGACGAAAGUCUGACGGAGCAACGCCGCGUGAGUGAUGAAGGUUUUCGGAUCGUAAAGCUCUGUUGUUAGGGAAGAACAAGUGCAAGAGUAACUGCUUGCACCUUGACGGUACCUAACCAGAAAGCCACGGCUAACUACGUGCCAGCAGCCGCGGUAAUACGUAGGUGGCAAGCGUUGUCCGGAAUUAUUGGGCGUAAAGGGCUCGCAGGCGGUUUCUUAAGUCUGAUGUGAAAGCCCCCGGCUCAACCGGGGAGGGUCAUUGGAAACUGGGAAACUUGAGUGCAGAAGAGGAGAGUGGAAUUCCACGUGUAGCGGUGAAAUGCGUAGAGAUGUGGAGGAACACCAGUGGCGAAAGGCGACUCUCUGGUCUGUAACUGACGCUGAGGAGCGAAAGCGUGGGGAGCGAACAGGAUUAGAUACCC
rnacentral:rRNA from 1 species